GGGUUGUGAGGUUAAGCGACUAAGCGUACACGGUGGAUGCCCUGGCAGUCAGAGGCGAUGAAGGGCGUGCUAAUCUGCGAUAAGCGCCGGUAAGGUGAUAUGAACCGCAAUAACCGGCGAUACCCGAAUGGGGAAACCCAGUGUGACUCGUCACACUAUCAUGCAGUGAAUACAUAGCUGUAUGAGGCGAACCGGGGGAACUGAAACAUCUAAGUACCCCGAGGAAAAGAAAUCAACCGAGAUUCCCCCAGUAGCGGCGAGCGAACGGGGAGGAGCCCAGAACCAUCAUCAGCUUGUGCAUCAGUGGAAGCGUCUGGAAAGUCGCAGGGUACAGGGUGAUACUCCCGUACACAAAGGUGCACAGGCUGUGAGUUCGAUGAGUAAGGCGGGACACGUGGUAUCCUGUCUGAAUAUGGGGGGACCAUCCUCCAAGGCUAAAUACUCCUGACUGACCGAUAGUGAACCAGUACCGUGAGGGAAAGGCGAAAAGAACCCCGGCGAGGGGAGUGAAACAGAACCUGAAACCGUGUACGUACAAGCAGUGGGAGCCUUCUUUAUGGGGGUGACUGCGUACCUUUUGUAUAAUGGGUCAGCGACUUAUAUUCUGUAGCAAGGUUAACCGCAUAGGGGAGCCGCAGGGAAACCGAGUCUUAACUGGGCGUUAAGUUGCAGGGUAUAGACCCGAAACCCGGUGAUCUAGCCAUGGGCAGGUUGAAGGUUGGGUAACACUAACUGGAGGACCGAACCGACUAAUGUUGAAAAAUUAGCGGAUGACCUGUGGCUGGGGGUGAAAGGCCAAUCAAACCGGGAGAUAGCUGGUUCUCCCCGAAAGCUAUUUAGGUAGCGCCUCGUGAACUCAUCUCCGGGGGUAGAGCACUGUUUCGGCUAGGGGGCCAUCCCGGCUUACCAACCCGAUGCAAACUGCGAAUACCGGAGAAUGUUAUCACGGGAGACACACGGCGGGUGCUAACGUCCGUCGUGAAGAGGGAAACAACCCAGACCGCCAGCUAAGGUCCCAAAGUCAUGGUUAAGUGGGAAACGAUGUGGGAAGGCCCAGACAGCCAGGAUGUUGGCUUAGAAGCAGCCAUCAUUUAAAGAAAGCGUAAUAGCUCACUGGUCGAGUCGGCCUGCGCGGAAGAUGUAACGGGGCUAAACCAUGCACCGAAGCUGCGGCAGCGACGCUUAUGCGUUGUUGGGUAGGGGAGCGUUCUGUAAGCCGUCGAAGGUGUGCUGUGAGGCAUGCUGGAGGUAUCAGAAGUGCGAAUGCUGACAUAAGUAACGAUAAACAAGGUGAAAAACCUUGUCGCCGGAAGACCAAGGGUUCCUGUUCAACGUUAAUCGGAGCAGGGUGAGUCGACCCCUAAGGCGAGGCCGAAAGGCGUAGUCGAUGGGAAACAGGUUAAUAUUCCUGUACUUGGUGUUACUGCGAAGGGGGGACGGAGAAGGCUAUAUCAGCCGGGCGACGGUUGUCCCGGUUUAAGCGUGUAGGUGUGUGUUCCAGGCAAAUCCGGUUCACUUUACACUGAGGCGUGACGACGAGGCACUACGGUGCUGAAGUGAUAAAUGCCCUGCUUCCAGGAAAAGCCUCUAAGCAUCAGGUAACACAAAAUCGUACCCCAAACCGACACAGGUGGUCAGGUAGAGAAUACCAAGGCGCUUGAGAGAACUCGGGUGAAGGAACUAGGCAAAAUGGUGCCGUAACUUCGGGAGAAGGCACGCUGGCGCGUAGGUGAAGGGACUUGCUCCCGGAGCUGAAGCCAGUCGAAGAUACCAGCUGGCUGCAACUGUUUAUUAAAAACACAGCACUGUGCAAACACGAAAGUGGACGUAUACGGUGUGACGCCUGCCCGGUGCCGGAAGGUUAAUUGAUGGGGUUAUCCGCAAGGAGAAGCUCUUGAUCGAAGCCCCGGUAAACGGCGGCCGUAACUAUAACGGUCCUAAGGUAGCGAAAUUCCUUGUCGGGUAAGUUCCGACCUGCACGAAUGGCGUAAUGAUGGCCAGGCUGUCUCCACCCGAGACUCAGUGAAAUUGAAAUCGCUGUGAAGAUGCAGUGUACCCGCGGCAAGACGGAAAGACCCCGUGAACCUUUACUACAGCUUGACACUGAACACUGAGCCUUGAUGUGUAGGAUAGGUGGGAGGCUUUGAAGCGUGGACGCCAGUCUGCGUGGAGCC
rnacentral:rRNA from 1 species